UGGCGGCGCGCCUAACACAUGCAAGUCGAACGGAGCUUAGAGAGCUUGCUUUUUAAGCUUAGUGGCGAACGGGUGAGUAACGCGUGAGUAACCUGCCCUAGAGUGGGGGACAACAGUUGGAAACGACUGCUAAUACCGCAUAAAGCCCACGGUACCGCAUGGUACUGAGGGAAAAGGAUUUAUUCGCUUUAGGAUGGACUCGCGUCCAAUUAGCUAGUUGGUGAGGUAACGGCCCACCAAGGCGACGAUUGGUAGCCGGACUGAGAGGUUGAACGGCCACAUUGGGACUGAGACACGGCCCAGACUCCUACGGGAGGCAGCAGUGGGGGAUAUUGCACAAUGGGGGAAACCCUGAUGCAGCGACGCCGCGUGGAGGAAGAAGGUUUUCGGAUUGUAAACUCCUGUCGUUAGGGACGAUAAUGACGGUACCUAACAAGAAAGCACCGGCUAACUACGUGCCAGCAGCCGCGGUAAAACGUAGGGUGCAAGCGUUGUCCGGAAUUACUGGGUGUAAAGGGAGCGCAGGCGGGAAGACAAGUUGGAAGUGAAAACCAUGGGCUCAACCCAUGAAUUGCUUUCAAAACUGUUUUUCUUGAGUAGUGCAGAGGUAGAUGGAAUUCCCGGUGUAGCGGUGGAAUGCGUAGAUAUCGGGAGGAACACCAGUGGCGAAGGCGGUCUACUGGGCACCAACUGACGCUGAGGCUCGAAAGCAUGGGUAGCAAACAGGAUUAGAUACCCUGGUAGUCCAUGCCGUAAACGAUGAUUACUAGGGUGUUGGGGGAUUGACCCCCUCAGUGCCGCAGUUAACACAAUAAGUAAUCCACCUGGGGAGUACGACCGCAAGGUUGAAACUCAAAGGAAUUGACGGGGGCCCGCACAAGCAGUGGAGUAUGUGGUUUAAUUCGAAGCAACGCGAAGAACCUUACCAGGUCUUGACAUCCGAUGCAUAGCACAGAGAUGUGUGAAAUCCUUCGGGACAUCGAGACAGGUGGUGCAUGGUUGUCGUCAGCUCGUGUCGUGAGAUGUUGGGUUAAGUCCCGCAACGAGCGCAACCCUUAUUGCCAGUUACUACGUUAAGAGGACUCUGGCGAGACUGCCGUUGACAAAACGGAGGAAGGUGGGGAUGACGUCAAAUCAUCAUGCCCUUUAUGACCUGGGCUACACACGUACUACAAUGGCGUUAAACAAAGAGAAGCAAGACCGCGAGGUGGAGCAAAACUCAAAAACAACGUCUCAGUUCAGAUUGCAGGCUGCAACUCGCCUGCAUGAAGUCGGAAUUGCUAGUAAUCGCGGAUCAGCAUGCCGCGGUGAAUACGUUCCCGGGCCUUGUACU
rnacentral:rRNA from 1 species